CAAACACAGUCACGAUUCAAAGCUCACUCUUUUCUUCUCCUGUGAUGACUUUAAAAUUUGCAAGUGAUUUAGGAGAAUGCUGGAAUGCUGUUUUUGCUGUGAAGCUCCAGGAAUUUUUUUGUGGCCAAAGAAACUUCACCUGACCUUCCGGCCGAGAGCUGAGACUAGCGUCGCCUGGCUGGUGGAGCGGUGGGAACCACACUGCACUCUUCCCUCCACCUGUGCACUGGCACGCGCAGCUGCAUAGGAGGAGAGGUGUCACUUAACGCCCCCUGGCGGCGUGAAUCUCGUCUGUUCCGAGGUUGUUGUCAGCCUGCAGCAUCACCGGUGCAGCAUCACACACAGAGACAUCACUGGAGUCUAUAUGUGCGGUUUUACUGCAGCCGCUCAGAUGAGCGGAGACGUGGCUUGUGAGAGCUCUGGCUUAAAGGACUCCUGAAUGCUUUGUGCAGGCGGGACCUGGAUCUGUAACAGCACAUGCCUCAAGGUGAUAAAUCAGAGAAUAACUGACCGGAGAGGUGCAAGUGCAAGGUUGGACUUUUUAGAUUUAAACGCCCUGGUGUUUCCUUUCAGGAUUUAUUUGUCAAGUGCCCUCCAAAAA